rnacentral:pre_miRNA from 1 species
UGCCGGGGCAAUAAAAACUCUGAGUUCCGUCUGCAUCAGGGUUCUUUUGCCCUGGCUCA